rnacentral:tRNA from 1 species
GCCCCGGUAGCUCAGCGGUAGAGCGGCGGCCUCGUAAGCCGUUGGACCCGGGUUCAAAUCCCGGCCGGGGCUCCA